rnacentral:pre_miRNA from 1 species
AAGAUACUCCCUCCGUCCCAAAUUACUCGUCGUAGAGAUGGAUGUAUCUAGAACUAAAAUACAUCUAGAUACAUCCAUACUUGCGACAAGUAAUUCAGAAUGGAGGGAGUAUAAG